GUUCUUUCCAGUUUUCUGCCUGCUGCAUUCAGGACCACAGGGAGUGAGGAUUUCAGGUGGCCAACAAUUUCUUGCUUUACUAGAGAGAAGGUUUUAAGAUGGACAUGAGUCUUCGAUUCAUUUGAGUAAACACCAAGAAGAAUGAUUGAUGGAUCCUGUCCAUGACAAUUUGCUGCUGUUAAACUUUCUUCAAAAUUAGAAGAUGAAAGGAUGGAAUUUUUCCAGCAUCUUUUAAACUUCA